CGUUACAACCAACAAUUCGCAACGGUGGCGCCGGCAGACUACUGAACGGCGACGGCGGCUCUGCGUGUAAGGAGCUAGUGUUUUAAAUCUCUACAUCAACAUGGAUCCUAAGCACUCAGGAAACGUUCUCAAGCAUUUGGAGAAGCAAAAGGAGCUUUUGAUGGAAGCAUACAGGUCGAUGUCUCAUGAACUACGCAAAUUGUAUGCCAGUUGAUAUCUCUAGUGAUUUUGUUUGAAAGUAUUUGAGGGGAACAUUCAGCAGAUGAACUAUGGCAGAACGAUAAAUGUGUCCCUACUUCCUUCUCUAAACAUUCUGUCAAGUAAAGGAUUAUUGAGAAUAUAAGAGUGCCGAUGUGAAAGAGAACGAGAACGAAGAACCUAUUGAAGCUGGAGCAUUGGUUGUUGCUAGCAAGGAAGAACAAUCAUGAACCUCCUUGAUAUGCUCAACUCCUUCAAUGUAGUGUCAGCUUAACUGAGUUUAUAAGCUUGUUUCUUUGCAUUUAAAACUUUGCUCCCUACUUCAUUAGUAAUAAUGCAAUGCAUGAUUGUAAGGUACUAAACUAUGUUGCUCAUAAAAUUCAAAACUACUUGAAGCUGAACAGAAGCAAAAUGAAGCACAUAAGAAAUAACCAAGUACAGAACAAGAUUAUACAUAGAUGUCACACAGAAUAUCAAAGCAAUCUAAGCUCUAUGAUUACUGAUAAUUGAUUCAACUAAAUACUGCAAAAGUUGUCACCAAAAGUGCUCCAAGACAGGAAAAACCGACAGCUCUAUCUCCACUUCACUAGGAUUGAGAUGGUUACUCGGAUCAGAGGUGAUGAUCAUGGCUGUGCCGCCGAAGCCACAAGUACCACCAUUGGCCUUUGUCUUCUGCCAGUAGCUAUUGAAGGCAUACGAGGCGUGAGCCACCACCGAGUCGGGGUAAUAGCAAUUCCCGUCUUCCUUAAUGGCAUCACAGUCGACAUCCCCUUCCCCGCACGCGUAAUCCAGCGCCUCCUGCAGUGUCUCCGCCGGCACACUAGGCUUCGCCACGCACCAUGUCCCGUGCACGUGGUGAGCGUGCGGUGGUAGUGGCGCCGGAGCCACCCCCACUGAGCGAGACGGUUCGCACGGCGGCAAAUGCGGCCCAUACGGAGGGCUCGCAAUGUACGGAGCCGGCACGUGGUAGUUCGGCUGCGGCUGCAGCGGGAUGGUUCCCACCAACGGAGGCAGAGCGAAUGUCGGGAUCGAAGGAGACGGCUGCGGUGGGAAUGGAUUCGGAUUCUUCACCUUGUGAGUGAGCUGUCUCCUUAUAACAUUGCUCAUAAUCAUAGAAACCCCAAGAUUUUUCAUGGCGUUGGAGUGGGAUUUCUCCAGAGCUGGCUGUGGAGGAUACACAACAUAAGGGGACUUGACUCCUUCCAAGAAGGUAAGCAAGGGUUUGAUGUAACUCUGUGCCACGUCAUCUCGGUAAGAUUCGGAGAGUGGAUCCAGGCAGUCGGAGGAGAAGGCGGCGGCGGCUUUGAUUUGGUGGUGAAGAGCCCAUCUAGUGAGGGAGUGGUGGAGGUUCUUGACAGCUGGAAGAAGCAAACCGAAGUUGUGGUGCUGGUCUCCGCGGCAUAGCACAUUGCAGCCGACAACGAUGGUGGUUAUGUUGGUGGAAGGGUAGUGGGGAAGAACGUGGGUUCGCAGCCAGUUUUCAGCGGCGAGGACGCUGGCCGAGACGUUCUUGAGGUGCUGGGCUUCCACGUGGACGGCGGCGGAUUGAGAGUUAGCUGCAGAGAAGGGAAUAUGAGUUAGUUUGAGGAGAAUGAAGAGACAAUGUGAAGAAGAUUCUUACCGGUGAAGCAUAGGAGGAAGAAGAAGAAGAGAGGGAGCGAGACAGCCAUGUUCAUUUCCUGGGCUGCCGGAGAGUGGAGAACAGCUUGAGGAAACACUCCCUCUCUCUGUGUAUUGGUGUGUCUGAGAGGGUCUGACAUUCAACGCUGUCCUUUAUUUGCAGGGGGGACUUAGGAGCAUAGCAUUGCACAAGUGAUAGCCAUCUGUCCUGACUGGAAAAGUGCAUUAGGUUGUCCACGGUCCACAACUCCACAUCAGACAAAGCAGUGCUCCGGCGAUCCACCCCCACAGGGCGGAAUG